CUGGGUGUAGCUCAGUGGUAGAGCACAUGCUUAGCAUGUGCUCGGCCCUGGGUUCAAAUCCCAGCUCCAAAC
rnacentral:tRNA from 1 species